rnacentral:rRNA from 1 species
UACAGAGACUGCAAGCGUUAUUCGGAUUCACUGGGCGUAAGGGGUGCGCAGGCGGUUGGGUGUGUCAGAUGUGAAAUCCCGAGGCUCAACCUCGGAACUGCGUCUGAAACUACUCGACUAGAGUACUGGAGAGGGUAACGGAAUUCACGGUGUAGCAGUGAAAUGCGUAGAUAUCGUGAGGAACACCAGAGGCGAAGGCGGUUACCUGGACAGUUACUGACGCUCAGGCACGAAAGCAUGGGGAGCAAAAGGG